rnacentral:lncRNA from 1 species
CUUUUCUAGGGCCACACCCUUGGCAUAAGCAGGUUCCCAAGCUAGGGGUCUAAUCAGAGCUGCAGCCACCAGCCCAUGCCACAGCCACAGCAACGCAGGAUCCGAGCCACGUCAGCGAACUACACCACAGCUCAAGGCAACGCUGGAUCUUUAACCCACUGAGCAAGGCCAGGGAUUGAACCCGCAAUCUCAUGGUUCCUAGUCGGAUUCGUUAACCACUGAGCCAUGAUGGGAGGACCUGCCUGCCAUAAUAUCAAUAGUUCCAUUAUAAGGGACUUAUUCUCCAAAAGCAGCUCUCUUAUGAACAGAAUUUAAUUUAGACUAUCUUUUUUUAGAUGGUAUUUGUUUAUGACUAUUGUCUUCAAAUAAAUUAAAAGGUUAAAAAAAGUGAUAUUUAAUGUAUGCAAUAUACUUUCACCUUAAAUAAUUUAUCAGUUAUAAUCUUAAUUAUUGUAAACAUUCAGUUAAACCUACUCAGAUAUCUGUUACUAAACAAAAACUAAUAAUCUUGACAAAAUAUAUCAAGUGGCUUCAUUUCCAUAUGUUCAAGAAUCAUACAUCACCAUAAUAGUGUGGUUAGAUGAGAUUACCUAAAUUGAAGAUAAAUUUGUUCUUAUAUAAAUAUGUCAAAAUAUAUCUAACUGUACAUACAGUCAUAAAUAAAUCACAUCUUUCUUAGUGGUUAAAGAUAUAGGCCACAUUUGGGAAAGCACAAUUAGUGACAGCUGAUAAGUAUGACUUUAUUUUUCCUAAUAAACUAUAAAUGGCAAUAGCUAACACUGAUUGGGUGCUUCCUUUGAGCCAGUCACACACACGUUUUGUGUAUAUAAACUUAUUUAAUCCUCACAGAAAACCUGUGAGAUUGGAACAAUUAUUGUCCUCAUUUGAUGGAUAAAUUAUAGAAAGGUUAAUAAACUUGCUCCUAGACAUAGCUAAUAAACACUGAAAACCAUGAUUUAAAUCUGGACAGCCUAAUUUAGAAUCAGUCCUUUCAACUACUAUUUGUAUAAUUUACUUAGAUACAUAAUUUAUAAUUUAUAGAAUGAGAUAUGAUAUGUCAGAAUAAGAUUUUACUUUUAAAUAAUGGAGACCUUGCAAAAUGGUCCAGUUUGUUUAACAGGGCACCAGAUGCAAAGCAGCUCACCAAUGCACAACUGUCAUGGGGAAAAAAGGUGUCUCUAAAUCACCUGUACUCUGGGGAAACUACACGCUGUUUCAUUCAAAGUCCAAGGAGUUCGAUUUCUAAAGGAUAAGAUUUUAAAAAGCAUUUGCUUCCUUAUCAGAAAAUCAAAUAAUCAACUUUUAUUUCUCAAAGGUAAGGAAGAUCAAAUGGACACCCCUUGGAUCUAAUCCGUGGUUUCAGAAAGGCUAGAAAAUAGCAAGUGUGAUGAGUCGAUAAUUAAAGGGCUCCUUCUGGGAAAAUUCUGUGAUUAAAUGCAAGACAGCAUGCAAAGAGAAUCAUUCUACUACUGGAUUAAAAUCUGAAAUGGAGAUGCAGGGGCUACCCACUUUUCUAGAAGAACUAAAAUGCAUUGGAAGAAAGAGUUGACCUAAUGUUUAAAAAGCUAACAUUUGACAUUACCUCUUAUCGAACAGUUAUAUUACUGCUUAAACCAAUAUUACAAUAGCCAAGAAAGAAAAUAUAAAAUCUAUAUAUUCUGUUUGCAUUUUUACUCUUACCCAAACUGCACCAGAUCUUCCCCAUUGCUGAGUCCUCUGAUAAUAAAAUUGAGUUUUUAAUCUCUUUUAGGUCACCUAAACAGCAACACACAAAAUUGUAUACCCAUAGUUGAGAAAAAUAAUGAAUUUCUUCAAUAUCUACAUAGCUAUAGGAAGGUGACUAAAGUACCAUAAGGAUUAAUCUCAAAAAAUCUGAAUGAUAUUUGUAGGUCCUUUUAAAAAAUUAGUAACAUACUGUACAUUUAAGAAAACUUAUUAAGAGCAUUCCUGCCACAUAUUUGGGUUACCUGGUACUUCAAAUUUUAGAAAGGAAAAGAUAGAUAUCCCCUUAUCACAGAGGUAGUUUCCAGCUGGGUAUAGGAUCUGAAAUACACAUUAAAAAAAAUCUUCUAGUUUAUAUCUGCCUUGAAAUGAAAUAUAUGCGGUCUCCCAUUCACUCUACAUUUUUCCAACCUGCUGAAUUAUGAAAAAUUUAUAAGGAGGGUGCUCUGAGGAAGUCACAAAUAUGAUAGUUUUUUGUUUUUUUUGUUUUUUUACUAAGGAACUGAUUAUAUUGAAACUAAAGAGACUAAAGAGUUUAAGACUAAAAUUUUUAAGACUAAAGACUUGUUCUUGAUAAGCUUCCUUAGCUAGCACCCUGAGUAUUAGAAUGUUCAAGUCUAAUUCAUAAACACAUAUACAGAUAGAUGAAAAUAAUGAUUUUUAUGUUUAUUCAAAAUAAGAGAAAAAUGUAUAUACUGAAAUAAUACUAUUUUGAAAUCAGACUCAAGAAAUUUAAGUCAAAUAGCUGACAUUAAAAAAAACGAGCUUGGAUUAAUUAUAUUUUAAUAAAAUUACUAUGAUCUAUUAUUACUAUUAAUAAUAACACAUUCCUUAGAAAAACUUUAUUUCCAAAAUAAAUCAUGGCCCAAGGAAAUAUUUAUAUGUAAUUAAUUCCAAUAUAAGGCACGACACUUUAAUGUUUCCAAUGAAGCAUAAUUUUCUUCAACAAAUAUAGAUCAUUCUGCUCUCAAAACCUGUAAUUCAUUAUCUCAUUUGAAUAUAUUGUUUAAUCUAGUAAAUGUGUGAUGAAUAGUAGUAAUGAUAUAGAAAUAAAACAAUGCAAUUUUACUCUCAUAAUUAUCCACUAGCAAAAUUAAAAUUGGAACUGUGGAAAGGUGUUAUAUCUAAUCAUGCCAAUAUCAGAAGGGGAUAGCCUAACACUUUUCACCCACUGUUAGUUAUAUUUGUGCAUAGAAACAUAUUUUAUGGACUUAAUGGGCCUAGUACAUAAAAUAUUGUACCUAAUAUAUAAAAAUGAGAACAAUUUUAGAAAUAGUUUUUAAGAGUAUAUCCAUAGUUUCCUUUCUGUAUUCAAAUAGUGAAAAAAAAAAGAACAGCAACAAAAAAACCCUUGUGUCAAAUACACUAUUUUCAUUCUCAUUGAAGUUACUUGGUUAAGAUUAUUAUCAUAGAAACACAUAUCUUAGAUCCUAGCGUCAGAAAAGCCCAGCGUUCUAGCUUAAUUUGCAGGCAGAGAACAAUAUCACAAUGGCAAAAUAUCAGUUUCAAUGUCAAUUUAAAUUAUUGGUUAAUAUCACAGGCAAUAAGACAUGGGCUAAAUUUAACACAUAAUUAAAACAGCCUCUGCUAAAUGAUUUGAGUUUAACAUGAAUGAUAUAAAGGACACUUAAAUACAUUUGUUUCUUAGACAAUUUGAGAGUGUUAAGCUCUGUUUUGUGAGAAUCCCUGGGGAAAGUUAAAUGUAAAUGCUUUUAUUUAAUGGGACUAAACAGGAGUAGUCUAAAAUGAGAAGUUGUAGCUCUGCUUAAGCCAUGUGGCUUAAUCAUGGAAUUAUCAUAGAAAUACCAUAGUUGGCUUAUCUAGUUGAAACUCGUUAUAUUAAAGGGAAGGAAAGAAAGACCCAGGAAUGUGGGAAUCAUCAAAGAGCACUCAGUAAAGUGGCAAAGAGAAAAGUUUAAGUAAAACUCAGGCUUCCUGGCUAUCAAGUCUUCCAUUAAAUACUGCAGUGACUGACGAAUUAGUCAUACUUAGAAACGCAUAAUUAAUCCUUUAAGUGUUUUCUCAAUAUUAUUUCCAUCUUCCUUACAAUCUUAUUGUGAAGAAAAAUUAAGUUGUUAUUUUCAUCUGUCUCUACAUAUGUAUAUAUGUUUAUGAAUUAGACAUAAAUUCUGAUGAUCAUUGGGUGCUAGCUAAUGAAAUGCAUUCAUUCAUUUUUCUCUUAAUCAACCAAUAUUUAUCAAAGAUUUAAUAAAUUCAAGGAACAUUUGUGAUGCAGGAGCCUUUAUUUUGAUGUUAAAGUUAUAUACCUACCCUCAGGACACUCGCAUAAAUAAAGUACAUAGAAAAAUAAUGAUGAUGAAAGGGAAUAAUUAAAUGUAGCUAAAGAAAAGAAAUCUUGAGCGUAUUUUGAGAAUUCAGAACAUAUAGUUGUAGUUCUAAAAACUUGAUAUGUAUAAGGUUCUUAUGGGAAGCUUAUUAAAAAUGUUGAAGAUGCAUCACUAUUAUUAGAGAAAUGCAAAUGGAAACUACUAUGGGGUACCAUCCCAUACCAGUCAGAAUGACAUCAUCAAUACGUCCACAAAUAAAUGCUGGAGAGGGUGUGAAGAAAAGGGAACCCUCCUGCACUGUUGGUGAGAGUGUAAAUUGGUACAACCACUAUGGAAAACAGUAUGAAGGUGCCUUAGAAAACUAUACAUAGAACAACCAAUUCCACUCUUAGGCAUAUACAGACAAAACUUUCCUUGAUAAAGACAUAUGCCCCUGUAUGUUCACUGCAGCACUAUUCACAAUAGCCAAGACAUGGAAACAACCUACAGGGGACUGAAUUAAGAAGAUGUGGUAUACAUACACAAUGGAAUGCUAUUCAGCCAUAAAAAAGAACAAAAAAAUGCCAUAUGCAGCAACAUAGACGGAACGAGAGACUUUUAUACUAAGUCAAGUAAGUCAGAAAGAGAACGACAAAUACCAUAUGAUAUCACUUAUAUCUGGAAUCUAGUAUACAGCACAAAUGAACUUUUCCACAAAAAAGAAAAUCAUGGUUGCCAAGGGGGAAGGGAAGAGAGUGGGAUGGACUGGAGUGUUUGGGGUUAAUAGAUGCAAACUAUUG